rnacentral:rRNA from 1 species
UACGUAGGGUGCAAGCGUUGUCCGGAAUUAUUGGGCGUAAAGAGCUCGUAGGCGGUUUGUCGCGUCGGCUGUGAAAACCCGGGGCUCAACCCCGGGCCUGCAGUCGAUACGGGCAAACUAGAGUGCGGUAGGGGAGACUGGAAUUCCUGGUGUAGCGGUGAAAUGCGCAGAUAUCAGGAGGAACACCGGUGGCGAAGGCGGGUCUCUGGGCCGUAACUGACGCUGAGGCACGAAAGCGUGGGGAGCAAACAGG